AUGACCCUUAAUUAUGAUAAGGUGUAGGGAAUACGUUGGUAUCCUACCUUUGCUGACAUGUUGGAGACAGAAAACCUCGGGAAAGUUCUUCCAGGUGUUGACAGUGUCGAAAAAGGAGUAGAAAUCUACCGGAGGUUUUACACAGAAGAGAAGGAAAAGUCAAAUGGUGUUCUUGCAAUUGGUGUUUCAAAACAUACCCUUCAACCAUACAUUCCUUUGGCCAAUUUAUUCUCUGAAUUAAGUUAUGAAGGUGUUCAAGGCCUUCUAGGGUUGAUGCAUACAGCAGGGACAAUUCCAGAUGCGCUUCCACCACCAAGAUCAACUCUAUUAGCAUCAUUUAGUUUGCUAUGCAAUCCAGAUGUUGAAGGUAGUUCCUUAACUCUUGGAGCUCGUGCAUUGGCCAAACAUGCUUGUAGGAGUAGCAGUGGUUAUUGGGGGUCCCUGGAUGGAGGUGAUUCUAAUAAGAAUAGACUUGCAAUGGAUGUAAUUAAGCGCCUAAUAGCACAUUGUUGUUGGGUGAAUAUGCAUGUUGUCCCGCCGCAUGGAACCGUGUUCGAAAUAAGGGUUGCUGAAGGAUAUGGCGCACGAUGGACAGAAGAUGGAAGCAAGUUUAUUGGAUUCUUAGAGCCCUACAUGGAAGAUGGUCACUCAAAAGGAUGGAAACACUAGUUCUGCAACAAUUAAAGCUUCGAAAUCGAAAGUGUUGAUGGAUAGUUAUGGGUAUUUGAAAGUACAAAUAUGGGGCCUUAACUGAUGGUAAAGUUUUUUUUAGUGUAUAUAAAUUUGUUACUUAUACUCAUUCUGUCUUUUAAACCGAGCAGACACAUAUCUCUUACCAUUCAAUGGAGUGUGUGGUAACUGGUAACCACAUGGGAUAAUGAGUCUGACUCUAUCUAAUGAUAAAAGAGUGUAUGUCAAUUCAAUAUACAAAAUAUUUCUCAUC